rnacentral:rRNA from 1 species
AGUGAACGCUGGCGGUAGGCCUAACACAUGCCAGUCGAACGGCAGCACAGUAAGAGCUUGCUCUUACGGGUGGCGAGUGGCAGACGGGUGAGGAAUACAUCGGAAUCUACUUUUUCGUGGGGGAUAACGUAGGGAAACUUACGCUAAUACCGCAUACGACCUACGGGUGAAAGCAGGGGAUCUUCGGAACUUGCGCGAUUGAAUGAGCCGGUGUCGGAUUAGCUAGUUGGCGGGGGAAAGGCCCACCAAGGCGACGAUCCGUAGCUGGUCUGAGAGGAUGAUCAGCCACACUGGAACUGAGACACGGUCCAGCCUCCUACGGGAGGCAGCAGUGGGGAAUAUUGGACAAUGGGCGCAAGCCUGAUCCAGCCAUACCGCGUGGGUGAAGAAGGCCUUCGGGUUGUAAAGCCCUUUUGUUGGGAAAGAAAAGCAGCAGGUUAAUACCCCGCUGUUCUGACGGUACCCAAAGAAUAAGCACCGGCUAACUUCGUG